rnacentral:tRNA from 1 species
GGGCGAUUAGCUCAGUUGGUUAGAGCGCCUGCCUUACAAGCAGGAAGUCACAAGUUCGAAUCUUGUAUCGCCCA